GGGUCAGUAGGUUGGUCGUGCCACCGGUACGUACUGGUCUCACUGAUUCCUCCUUCCUGAAGAACCGUAAUGCCAUUAAUUUGGGGUUGCGGGGAAACAGGACUGUUACUUUGACAAAAUUAGAGUGUUUAAAGCAAGCUAACGCUUGAAUACAUUAGCAUGGAAUAAUGAAAUAGGACGAUCGAUCCUAUUUUGUUGGUUUCUAGGAUUGACGUA
rnacentral:rRNA from 1 species